rfam:Pseudomonas chlororaphis subsp. aureofaciens 30-84 chromosome, whole genome shotgun sequence.
UUGACUUGGAAAUGAGAAUCGUUAUGAUUAUCACAGCUGGUCGCGAGAUCAGUCGAUAACCUGAAAGACCAGUGGUUCGGACUCUCAGAUUAUCUCCUCAUCAGGCUAAUCACGGUUAUUUGACCCGGCUCUUGCCGGGUCUUUUUUUG